UUUCCAUAGCAGGGGUUGGAACUGCCUCCUGGACAUUGUUGCUGGCAGGAAGGACCAUGGUAGCCAUGGUGACAUGUACAGCCACCUGUUGGUACCGGCAGUGGGCUCUGGAGAAGUGAAUCAUAUCAAAAGUGCUGGAACCGAAUUUUGAAGGCCUUUGCAAACAGUUUGGAUCCAGAUGAGACGCCACAGAACGUGGACAAAUUUCCCAGCAUGCAAAGGGUUAAGAACGCUCCAACAGAGGGGAUCUGACUUAUGAACAUUGAAGGAAGUGAUGGAGGAGGUUGGAUACUCACCAAGGCGGGUGGUGUUGCGCAGGCCUCAGCAGUGUUGAUCUCAGCCACAGCCGGGAUGUUAGAGACUGCGAGAGAGUAGACCUGCCAUGUGAUCUGUCUCAGCUCAUCCAGUGUUUGAGAGACAUUUAACUACCUUGCACCUAAAAAUGGCAAAACAAGAGUGCAUCUGUACCAUAAACUGUAGCGUAUCCGUUCCUGCAAAGUGUCUCACAGGUGGUGUUGUAGCCAAUGUAGUCAUCUUGGCAGCGUUCGCACUUGCUUCCAACAAAGUUUGGCGUGCACCUGUCGCAUGCCAGGCCUGUGAAUCCAUGGUGACACACGCAGGCUGGUGCAGCUGCUGUGUCCUUAAGAAGGCAGUCACCUGGAGACAAGAAUAUUUUAUGAGAAACACAUUGCAAUAUGAAGUGCCGACAUGGCCAGGACAAACGAGUUCCGAGCAGUUAUCCCCAGUGAAGCCUCCCUCGCACAGACAGACUGACCUUCCAUCCACACGGGUACAUGUGCCAUGGCGGGAACUGGUACAAUCUGGUUCACCUGGAAAUGUCUGAGCCAGAGUAGCAUGGAUCGCAUUCACAGAUCGUUGAGAAGGCGGGGGUCUCCUUGCCAUGUAUGCAGUCAAACUGGCAGGAUGUGCCCAUGGACAGGGAGCAGUUCACACAGCGCGGGGGCCAGUAUAGGGCUCCAUCGCAUGCACCUGAGCAGAAUUAUAGUGAUGAAGAGAGUUAUAUGUUUGCAGAUCCUUGGCCAUAACAGACUUGGUCACAGGCACCACCAGUGUAGCACGGGUCACAGACACACUCAAAGUUGGCGUUAGGCUGUCCAUGCACACACUUGUACUGGCACUCCAGCCCCAUCCAUCCCUCAUGGCACUGGCAGCGGGGAAGAUCACCACUGGGGAUGCAAUCACCGUUACCGGAACAGUCAGGUGUGCCAGGACAGUCUGCCACGUGACAAUUCCUCGCCUUGAGCAGUUGUUGAGACACUCGGCGGUCCAGCAACCUUCUCCCACCCAGUAGGUGUCACAGCUGAGGCAGUGAUACAGCUUCCAUGUCCCGUGCAGUCUACACCAUCUUUGCCAGGACAGCCCGCUUUCUCGCAGUUGUCUCCCCUCCAUCCAGCCGUCCCGCAGUCACACAUACCCGCGCUAUUGCAGCUUCCACGACCCGAACACUCCACAUCACACAGCUCCCCUGUGAAGCAACUGUCGCAUGUACAAUACCAGGUGGACAGGUCCGCUAGAUCAGGUUUGAUCAAGGAAAGGACCUUUUGGUUAGAGGUUAUACAAAGGCGGGACUUACUGCUGCAGUUGUUUGGACACAGAGGCAGACCACAGUCGUCACCCAUCCAGCCGUUGUCACAGAGACACGUCAUCUUUACGCAGGUGCCAUGGCCGUUACAUCUGCCGUCAGGUCCCGGGCAGCCUUCUGUCUCGCACAGACUUUCAAUGUACGCAUUGCCUGAAACAUGACAUACCGUUGUCAGAGCACUCCAGUUGGCACCGGUCUCCAUUGUAGCAGGUGAAACACUCACACUCCCCACCCGUCACGUCCGUCGGCGGGGCCAUUGUCACUGUGCCGUUCUCACACUUCUUCUCACAGUACAUUCCAAACCAGCCCUUAAUUGACCAAGAUUACUAUCAGUUGUAGAGUGAUGGAGAUUUUUGGCCUUUUUAUUGAAGCCAAAUCGAUGACACAUUUUGGUAUUCCGGUUGAUCCAUCACAACGUCCCCUGUCCUCUUCUGAAUAGCAAGAAUCAUCUCCACAGUCAGGAAUGCUGCAGUCAGCGCCAGUCCAUCCUGAUAAAAAAUAAUGAAAAAUCGGAAUGAUUUAAAUAAUACAUUCUGUAACAAAAAGGCUACACCACAGAUAAUAAUCAGCAACAAUUUAACAUGAAGCAUGCCAUUGUUAGGGGCUCAAUACAUGCAAAUAGAAACUGUUUAUAGAGACAUACAAUGUAUUGCUCUUUUACUCUCUAGUGCCUUACAUCUAGAUUUUCAUGUAAUGAAAGUAUGUGGAUUCUUUAUAUCUUUUUUUUAUCUUAAAUUUGUUCAUUUGUUUUUAAUGACUGCUAUGAAACUUCAGAUUUGAAAAAUUUCCCUGGAUAAUUUAUUUCGCAGUUUAAAGGACCCAUAAAAUACACAUAAAUUAGUGUACAACAAGUAAUAGUUUCACAGUUUCGCUU